CUGUGCGUGCCCGCGCGCCUGCGCAUCAGGACGAGGGGACGGGUGGGGGGUGAAGAAGGGGCCGGCCUUCAAGCGACAGCGACGCAAGAUGGCAGCCACCACGGGCUCGGGAGUAAAAGUCCCUCGCAAUUUCCGACUGUUGGAAGAACUCGAAGAAGGCCAGAAAGGAGUAGGAGAUGGCACAGUUAGCUGGGGUCUAGAAGAUGACGAAGACAUGACACUUACAAGAUGGACAGGGAUGAUAAUUGGGCCUCCAAGAUUUCAGUUUAUAUAUUUGAACCUCCUCUGAUGCUGUUUAACCCCUCUAAAUGUGUUCCAGUGAAAUUACCAGAUGAACAUCAGUGCUUCCUCUUCAGGUCACUAGGAGCCAUCAGAGGGUUAAGCCAAUAGAGACAGCUUCCUGUUUUUAAGAGGUCAGUCUGGCUGCUGUGCCGGAAGCAAGAGAGAAAGAGUCUUGGGGGAGUUCCGAAGAGGUGACGGUGGUGGAGGAAAGGGGAGUCAUACCGGGUAUCUUUCGGAGACAAUUUAUGAAAACCGAAUAUACAGCCUUAAAAUAGAAUGUGGACCUAAAUACCCAGAAGCACCCCCCUUUGUAAGAUUUGUAACAAAAAUUAAUAUGAAUGGAGUUAAUAGUUCUAAUGGAGUGGUGGACCCAAGAGCCAUAUCAGUGCUAGCAAAAUGGCAGAAUUCAUAUAGCAUCAAAGUUGUCCUGCAAGAGCUUCGGCGCCUAAUGAUGUCUAAAGAAAAUAUGAAACUCCCUCAGCCGCCUGAAGGACAGUGUUACAGCAAUUAAUCAAAAAGAAAAACCACAGGCCCUUCCCUUCCCCCCCAUUCAAUUUAAGCAGUCUUCAUUUUCCACAGUAGUAAAUUUUCUAGAUACGUCUUGUAGACCUCAAAGUACUGGAAAGGAAGCUCCCAUUCAAAGGAAAUUUAUCUUAAGAUACUGUAAAUGAUACUAACUUUUUGUCCAUUUGAAAUAUAUAAGUUGUGCUAUAACAAAUCAUCCUGUCAAGUGUAACCACUGUCCACGUAGUUGAACUUCUGGGAUCAAGAAAGUCUAUUUAAAUUGAUUCCCAUCAUAACUGGUGGGGCACAUCUAACUCAACUGUGAAAAGACACAUCACACAAUCACCUUGCUGCUGAUUACACGGCCUGGGGUCUCUGCCUUCUCUCCUCACCCUCCUGCCUCCCACCCUCCCUGCAACAACAGCCCUCUAGCCUGGAGGGCUUGUCAGAGUAGCUGUGAAGGUUUCAGGUCGCAGCCUGUGGGACUACUGCUGGGUGUGUGGGGUGCUUUGCCUGCACCCCUGGUUUCUUUAAGUCUUAAAUGAUGCCCCUUCCAAGCCAUCAUCCUGUCCCCACGCUCCUCCACUCCUGCCCUUGGCCGAAGCAUAGAUUGUAACCCCUCCGCUCCCCUCUGAGAUUGGCCUUCGGUGAGGAAUUCAGGGCUUUCCCCAUACCUUCUCUCCCCCACCUUUAUCGAGGGGUGCUGCUUUUUCUUCCCUCCUCCUGAAGUUCCUUUUUGCCCCAUCACCACCCAACACGUUCCAUGACACUUCCUUGCUUUGGCCAGAAGCCACGAGGUAAAGUUGGAAAGAGUCUCUCACCACCCUUGUUUAGUUUCAGAACCAUACUUUUUCACUCUCCACCAGCCUGGGAAAUGAAUAGUGGGUCCUCAGCCCUGCCACCCUCUGCUGUCAUCAGCUGAUGCGUUGUUUUUAGCUCAGGUUUUGAUAAGGUGAAAAGAAUAGUCACCAGGGCCACUCAGACCUGCCAGCUCUCAGAGUCCUUGGUGGUUGAACUCGGAGAAAGACCACAUGAAGACACUUGUAAGCACACAUGAUCCCUCUGAAUUGUUUUACUUUACUGUAAUUGCUUUUGCUUUUAAAAAUUGAAGAAGUUUUAAACAGGGCUUUCAUUUGGCCAUCCUUGCAAUCCAUUGGGGUCUAGUUUGGAAUCUGACAACUGGAACAAAAAGAACCUUGAAUCCGGUGCAUGCCUUGGUUUUGGUGCUGCUGCUUCUCAAGAUCCUCAGCAGGGAUUAAGAAAGAACCCGGUGUGCACAGCAGAUCCCCGAAAUUGGCGGGCUUGACCUCCUGGCAAAUUGCUGCGUCUUUCCACUUUCUGUUCAGGACCACUAAAUGCUGAAAUGUGGAUGCAUACCGAAAUAAAAGCAAUUCAUUGUGUACUAAAGGUUUUUUUAAUUUAGUAUUUGUGUAAACCACCUUUUGGAGCAGCAACUAUCAAGUCUGAAAAGCAAUUGAUGUUUCCAUUGAUCUUUUUCCGGGGGAAAACCUUAGUUCUGAGGAUUUAACAUCCUGUAAGUGAAAUUUAACAUAACAGUAUUCCAUAAGCAGCCUUUUUAUUGUCAGACCAUUGCCUGAUUUUAAUAUAAUAAAAAAAAAAAGUGUGCGUUAAUAUUUAA